rnacentral:rRNA from 1 species
UACAGAGACUGCAAGCGUUAUUCGGAUUCACUGGGCGUAAAGGGUGCGCAGGCGGCCAUGUGUGUUGGGCGUGAAAGCCCGGGGCUUAACCCCGGAAUUGCACUCAAAACUACAUGGCUAGAGCAUUGGAGAGGGUAGCAGAAUUCACGGUGUAGCAGUGAAAUGCGUCGAUAUCGUGAGGAAUACCAGAGGCGAAGGCGGUUGCCUGGAGCUUUGCUGACGCUGAUGCGCGAAAGCGUGGGGAGCGAUCCGG